AUCUGCCAACAAUACUACGGAGUUACUGAUACAGAGAUACUACUCCGUAGGUUACUUGCGCAUACGAUACAUCAUCAGCUCAAGCAAGUAAGUUAGUCUAGUCUAACCCGGACUGGUAACGAACGAAAAAAAUAUCACCGAACACAGCCUGUGGGGGCCCAGCCUACCUAUGCUUCCACUGGGAUGGGCUGUCGUGGGUGAUAAAUCAGCAGGAUGUUGGUCGGUGUCUCAGGAAAGGGCCGAGCGUCCGUGAUCGUUAACUGCGUAGCCAAAGAGCUGUGUGUGUGCAAGCCACAGCUUCUACUAUGUAACUAACUCCACGGUCAGAUCAUAAGCAAGCGAGAGGAGCUUCCCUGGCCCUGAAAUCUUAAUGAGCAAGUUCUGCAAGCGGGCGGCAGGCCGCAGAAUUGCUAAAAUCCGUCUCUCUUUUGAAUCGCAGCAAAUAAUGAACAAAAGGAAAAGAGAAGAGAAGGGAAAAAAUACAAAUUCCUGCUGAAUCAUUGGUGAUGAUACUGAUGAUGUGAACGGUGGGCCACUCGAAGUAUUGAGAGAGAAAGAUAAAAAGCCAACAUACGCAGCGUAUACUUCAUUGCCUCAUUCUUUCUUUCUUGCUUGCUUUCUACUGAGCGUACUGCGUAAACAUAACUUCCCUAAUAUCAUUUUACAGUCCUUCCACAGCAUUUCUUUUACCUGUGCGUAAAUUAAUUGAUACAAGAAAACCUCUGCCUCUCCUACCCAUACACCCCUUUCCAACCCACAGUUUCGGAUUUGAUUUAUUUAUUUAUGCCUCUUUCCUUCAUGCUUCUUCAUUUUUAAACCCACCAAAGAAAAAAAAAAAAAAAUCGUUGAAGGAUAAUACCAACAAUACAACAAUACAAAGACGAAACCCGCGCCGCCAGCUCCCUGAUCCACACAACCCCUUCAUAAGUGGAGUAACCCAAAGUCCAAGUGCAGGUACUCGGAUUGAAACAUUCGUGAUUUUCCCCGUUGAAAAUGCGUCUUAGUCUUUCGGACUUUGCUAUGCCAUAUAUGCAUGAAUUGGGACAGAAAAGCCGCAACUAAGAAGUGAAGUUUAUGUGCUGAGUUUGUUCAAUUCACUAUGGAUCCUGCCGUAGAAGCUGUUGCGUGGAUCAUUGGUUGUUUUGAGACUCGCUCCUGCUGCUUGCACAGUACAUCCGGGAUGAUAUGUAAAAAUGAUAAAAAAAAGGGAAAAGCGGACAUAUCUUAUAUCGAGAUAUGAGGAUAAAACCGAACGACCAGGGUGCAAUCCACGAAACUUCUCUCUUUUUUUUUUUUUUUUUUAUAGCAAGGCUUCAAACACGGUGUGCAAAACAAACCUUUAUUUUGCACCUACCUCCACAUGCCCUC
rnacentral:sRNA from 2 species